rnacentral:tRNA from 1 species
CGCAGAGUGGAGCAGUUAGUAGCUCGCCAGAGUCAUAAUCUGGAGGUCGCUGGAGCGAAGCCAGCCUCUGCCCCA